UACGUAGGGAGCAAGCGUUGUCCGGAAUCAUUGGGCGUAAAGCGCGCGUAGGUGGCUUCGUAAGUCCGUUGUGAAAGUCAAAGGCUCAACCUUUGAAUGCCGAUGGAUACUGCGGAGCUAGAGUACGGAAGAGGCGAGUGGAAUUCCUGGUGUAGCGGUGGAAUGCGCAGAUAUCAGGAGGAACGCCAAUAGCGAAGGCAGCUCGCUGGGACGUUACUGACACUAAGGCGCGAAAGCGUGGGGAGCGAACAGG
rnacentral:rRNA from 1 species